AGCGAACGCUGGCGGCAGACUUAACACAUGCAAGUCGAACGCAUCCUUCGGGGUGAGUGGCAGACGGGUGAGUAACGCGUGGGAACGUGCCCUUCAGUUCGGAAUAACCCAGGGAAACUUGGGCUAAUACCGGAUACGUGCGAGAGCAGAAAGAUUUAUCGCUGAAGGAUCGGCCCGCGUCUGAUUAGCUAGUUGGUGAGGUAAUGGCUCACCAAGGCGACGAUCAGUAGCUGGUCUGAGAGGAUGAUCAGCCACAUUGGGACUGAGACACGGCCCAAACUCCUACGGGAGGCAGCAGUGGGGAAUAUUGGACAAUGGGCGCAAGCCUGAUCCAGCCAUGCCGCGUGAGUGAUGACGGCCUUAGGGUUGUAAAGCUCUUUCGUCCGGGACGAUAAUGACGGUACCGGAAGAAGAAGCCCCGGCUAACUUCGUGCCAGCAGCCGCGGUAAAAC
rnacentral:rRNA from 1 species